UACGAAGGGGGUUAGCGUUGCUCGGAAUUACUGGGCGUAAAGCGCACGUAGGCGGAUUGUUAAGUCGGGGGUGAAAUCCUGGAGCUCAACUCCAGAACUGCCUUCGAUACUGGCGAUCUCGAGUUCGGGAGAGGUGAGUGGAACUGCGAGUGUAGAGGUGAAAUUCGUAGAUAUUCGGAAGAACACCAGUGGCGAAGGCGGCUCACUGGACCGGUAUUGACGCUGAGGUGCGAAAGCGUGGGGAGCAAACAGG
rnacentral:rRNA from 1 species